rnacentral:lncRNA from 1 species
UGUGGUUUGAGCCUUAUGACUCUACUUCUCUUGAAGAUAACGAAGCUGUAAAGCGAGCUCUUGCCAUUGAACUAGAUUGGUAAGUUAUUACAAGCUUUAGAUCAAAGCAAAAUAGUUAAUGUAUAUCUUCUUGUAAUGAUAUAGAUAUUUAUUGAUCGAAUAUGGUAUUUUAGGCAUUUAGAUCCAGUUAUCCACGGAGAUUAUCCAGAAACACUAAAGAAACAAGUCGGAAAGAGAUUAUCUUCUUUCACCGCAGAACAAUCCAGAAUGUUAAAAAAUUCAUCGGAUUUCAUUGGAGUAAACUAUUAUACUGCACGCUACAUUGUUCAUCUUCCUCACGUUGACCCUGCACGACCUCGAUUCAAGACUGAUCAACAGUUGGAAUGGAGAGGUAAGAAUGCUAAUUUUAAUAUCCGUUUAUGAUAUUCUUAGGAUUUUGUUGGUUUUUUCCUCCCUUAGCCCAAAACCCAAAAAUCAUGAUCUAUAUUAAGCAAUUAUCUAGAAUUAUGGAGAAGAAGAGAGAAAGUUAUGGAGUAGAAUAAUUAAUGUUAGAUAUUUUGAAAUAAGAUAAUAAUUUAGAGAAAUCUAGAACAUGUUAGAGUUUGCUCCUUCACUUGUAUAAAUAGGGGUGCUUAGCACCAUUUGUAUCAUCCAAGAAUCAAGAAAAGCAAUUGAGAGAAAACAUUCAAGAAAGAGUUUUAAGAAAGUUUCUAAAAGAAUCUCCAAGCACAAGCCUUAGUAGAAAAUUCCUUUCCCAAAUACAAAAGCUAUCUCAAACAUAAACCGUCUACAUUCCAUCUUAAACUCUCAAAGAAAAUAUUAUCCGCUAAUUUUCCCAAUAGCUGGUAUCAGAGCAAGGUUGCCGUUAUCUUGAAGAAGUGAAGAUGGAGGCCACCGUUACCUUUGAAGGUGACAUGUUCAAGCUCACGACGGACAACUUCUCUUAUUGGAAACCGAUGAUUGAAGAUCACCUUUAUUAUAAGGAUUUGCAUGAGCCCAUCAUCAUGAAGGAUAAGCCGGAAGGAAAGGAUGAUAAAGCAUGAGAGAUUCUUAAUAGAAAAGCGGUUGCCGUAAUACGCAAGUAUGUCGACCGAUCUCUCUUUGAACAUGUCUCUACCUACACAAAUGCUUUUGAAUUAUGGACAAAACUUGAAUCCAUGAUUCAAAAGAAAACACCUCGAAACAAAGCUCUUCUUGUUCGACGGUUGGUAAAGUUGGAGUACAAGGAUGGCCAGAGCAUGAUGGAGCACUUGAACAAUUUCAAGGGGAUUGUAAAUCAGCUUAACAAAGUUGAUAUGAAGGUUGAAGACGAAAUGCAAGCCCUUUUACUCCUUAGUUCACUACCGGAGAGUUGGGACACACUAGUUGUCACUCUAAGCAAUUCAGCACCGGAGGGAAAGCUUACCAUGGACACCGUCACUGACAGCCUUCUAAACGAAGAAGUUCGCAGGAAGGAGCGAGGUUCGAGUUCUUAUUCAGAAGCUAACAUUGUUGAUAGACGAGGUAGAGAAGAGACUCGUGGCCAAAACAGAAGCAGAGGACGAGACCAAUCUUGAGGAAGAUCUAAGUCACGUCCAAGAGUUACUUGCUAUUACUGUGGCAAACCGGGUCACAAGAAGUCGGAAUGUCGGUUUUUCAAGAAAGACAAACAAGCAGGUAACAUCAAACCAGACCGGCUCAAUCCUACAAAGAAGCAUGAAGACAAGACUACCACCAUUGUGGAAGACCAGAGCGAAGAAUUAUAUCUCGUUGGAGAAUGUAAUCUUAGCUCAGAUGAUAGCUCAUGAAUCGUUGAUUCUGGUGCUUCUUUUCACGUCACCCCCCAUGGAAGCUUUUUCACAACCUACCAAAGUGGUGACUUUGGUAAUGUUCAAAUGGGAAAUCAAGGGAGAAGCAAGAUUGUUGGAAAGGGGGAUGUUAUUCUUACAUCAAACACAGGGUGUAAGAUAGUUCUCAAGGAUGUGAGACAUGUUCCCGACAUGCGACUCAAUCUCAUAUCAACCGGGAAGCUUGAUGAUGACGGUUUGGAUAGCCACUUUGGCAGUGGAAAAUGGAAGCUAACCAAGGGGAGUUUGAUCAUGGCUCGAGGAAGAAAAGAAGGCUCUUUAUAUGUAACACAAGCCAAGCUUUGCAAGGAAGAAGUAAAUGUCGCAAGUGAUGACAUCGAUAUAUGGCACCGAAGACUCGGGCAUAUGAGUGAGAAAGGUUUAAAUAUACUUUCUCGCAAGAAGUUUCUUCCUGAUAUGAAAGGUAUUUCUCUCUCACCAUGUCAUGAUUGUUUAGCCGGAAAACAACAUAGGGUCGCUUUCCGAAGAUCAUCUACGCCUAUGAGAAGAAAGCAUAUUCUUGAUCUUGUGCAUACUGACGUAUGCUCUAUGUCCGAGAAAUCCAAUGGAGGGGCAUCAUAUUUCGUCACCUUUAUUGAUGACCAUUCAAGGAAGGUAUGGGUAUACCUUUUGAAGUCAAAAGAUCAGGUUCUUGAUGCUUUCAAGGAGUUUGUAGCCCAAGCAGAGCGAAGUACGGGUCAAAAACUCAAGUGUGUUCGAUCUGACAAUGGUGGAGAGUAUCGAGGUCCCUUUGAAGCGUUUUGCAAAGCUCAUGGAAUCAGAAUGGAGAAGACACCACCAAAUACGCCACAACUGAACGGGCUAGCAGAAAGAAUGAAUCGAACGAUCACAGAAAGAGUUCGGUGCAUGCUCUCUCACGCUAAACUACCCAAGCCAUUUUGGGGAGAAGCCAUAAAGACUGCAGUGGACGUCAUAAAUCUUACACCAUCAGUUCCUUUGGAAGGCGAUGUCCCGGAGGAAGUUUGGUCGGGUAAGAAGGUCUCUUACAACCAUUUGAAGGUGUUCGGUUGCAGAGCAUUUGUCCAUAUACCUAAGGAUGAACGGGCCAAGCUAGACUCCAAGACUAAAGAGUGCAUCUAUCUUGGGUCACCAAGAGAUGAUUUCGGCUAUCGGCUUUGGGAUCCGGUUAACAGAAAAAUUAUCCGGAGCAGAGAUGUUGUUUUCUUCGAAGAUCAAACAAUCGAAGACAUCAACAAAUCAAAGAAACCAAAGCUAAGGGUUGUAAGGAAUGAAGAUUCUCAUAAGCCUCAAGAUCAUGAACAAGUGAUUGGAGAUGAUGGCGAAGGGGAUCCUAUCAUGGAUCCGAAUGGUGAUGAAGGUGAAGAAGAAGUUCAAGUGGAGCCAGAGGAAGAACAUGAGCCAAGAAGGUCUGGAAGAGAGACAAGACCAUCUGUAAGAUAUUAUCGAGAUGAGUACGUUAAUCUUACAGAUGAGGGGGAGCCUCAAAGCUAUAAGGAGGCCAUAGUAGACACUCAUAGAGAUGAGUGGGUUGAAGUUAUGCAAGAUGAAAUGCAAUCCUUGCAUGAUAAUCACACUUAUGAGCUGAUGAAGCUACCAAAAGGAAAGAGAGCCUUAAAGAACAAGUGGGUGUACAGGUUGAAGUAUGAAGAGAGAAGCUCAAAUCUAAGAUACAAAGCUCGUUUGGUUGUGAAAGGAUUCAACCAGAAGAAAGGCAUAGAUUUUGAAGAAAUAUUCUCUCCAGUGGUGAAGAUGUCCUCUAUCCGAGUGGUUCUUGGUCUAGCAGCGGUUCUAGACUUGGAGAUUGAACAACUCGAUGUCAAGACGGCCUUUCUACAUGGUGAACUCGAGGAGGAGAUCUAUAUGGAGCAACCUGAAGGAUUCAAGAUUCCAGGAAAAGAAGACUUGGUUUGCCGAUUAAAGAAGAGUCUUUACGGCCUCAAGCAAGCUCUAAGACAAUGGUACAAGAAGUUUGACUCCUUCAUGGUGGAUCAUAACUUCAAGAAAACCAAGAAUGAUCACUGCGUUUUCAUAAAGAUGUAUGAAAGCGGCGACUUUCUCAUAUUAUUGCUCUAUGUUGACGAUAUGUUAGUUGUGGGGCAAGAUCGCAACAAGAUAGCCGCAUUGAAGAAAGAUUUGGGAAGGAGUUUUGCGAUGAAAGAUCUGGGGCAAGCGAGACAGAUUCUUGGAAUGAAGAUCACUCGGGAUAGGCCAAAGAAAAUUUUAUGGUUGUCCCAAGAACGAUAUGUUGAAAGGGUGUUGGAGAGAUUCAACAUGCACAAAGCAAAGCCGGUGAGCACUCCACUUGGUGGACAUUUCAAGCUAACUUCGAAGCAAAGUCCAACUAGUGAGAAGGAUAAAGAGGAAAUGAAGACUACCCCAUAUGCAUCAGCAGUGGGCAGUCUCAUGUAUGCUAUGGUGUGCACCAGACCCGACAUUGCCUAUGCCGUAGGAGUUGUGAGUCGCUUUCUCGCCAAUCCAGGAAAAGAACAUUGGAAAGCAGUUAAGUGGAUCCUACGCUAUCUACGAGGCACAACGAAGAAGUGUCUAUGUUUUGGAAAUGGAAAAUUGGAGUUGAACGGUUACACCGAUGCAGAUUGGGCUGGUGAUAAAGAUUCAAGGAAAUCGACAUCAGGAUUCGUGACUACCUUUGCAGGGGGAGCUGUUUCUUGGCAAUCGAAGCUACAAAAGUGUGUUGCCUUAUCCACCACAGAAGCGGAGUACAUUGCAGCAACGGAAGCGUGCAAGGAGAUGCUAUGGAUGAAGAACUUCUUGCUUGAGUUGGGAGUAAAGCAAGAAAAGUACAACAUGUUAUGUGACAACCAAAGUGCUAUUCACUUAGCAAAGAAUCCAACGUUUCACUCUCGCUCAAAGCACAUCGAUAUCCGACAUCACUGGAUCCGAGAAGUUCUGGAAGAGAAGCUCAUACAUCUCACAAAGGUACACACCGACGAAAACUGGUCAGACUUUAUGACCAAGGUAUUACCGAUUAAGAAGUUUGAAGAUUGCUGCAAAGGCACCGGCAUGACAACGGUUUCGGGCUAAGUCGGAAAGGGGGAAAUUUGUUGGUUUUUUCCUCCAUUAGCCCAAAACCCAAAAAUCAUGAUCCAUAUUAAGAGCCCAAAAGAAAAGCACAAGGAUGAAGAAUUAUCUAGAAGAAGAGAGAAAGUUAUGGAGUAGAAUAAUUAAUGUUAGAUAUUUUGAAAUAAGAUAAUAAUUUAGAGAAAUCUAGAACAUGUUAGAGUUUGCUCCUUCACUUGUAUAAAUAGAGGUGUUUAGCACCAUUUGUAUCAUCCCACAUCAAGCAAAGCAAUAGAGAGAAAACAUUUCAUAAAGAGUUCUAAGAGUGUUUAAGAAAUCUCCAAACACAAGCCUUAGUGAAAAUCUCUUUCCCAAAAAUAAGAAGGUUAUCUUAACCACUAACCAUCCACAUUCCAUCUCAACCUCUCAAAGAAAUUAUUAUCCGAUAAUUUUCCCAACAGAUUUGAAUGGUAACCAAGGGAAUAAAGAGAAACACUACAUUCCUUAACGUUCCUCAAAAAUGUUAUCAUUCAUAAGGAAUAUGUUUUCCUCUUCAUUCCUUCUCAUUUCCUUUUUUUUGUAGAGAAUUAUAAUGCAAAUUUUGUUCUUUGUUAAUUUUGAUAAAGAACCCUCAUUCCUCAUCAUUCCCAAAUUUUUUAUUCAUAUUCAUUUUUUUCCUAUUCUUUUCUAAUGUUCCUCGAUGGUUACCGGUCACGACUUUAGUGAAACUAAUUAACUCAAGGUAUUUUUUUCAUGUCUGUUUUUAACAGUAACAAAUCACAGUAAUCACCAAAUAGACAAAAGUUAAUAAAAAGAGCUUGUAAAAGUUAAUAAAAAGAGCUGAAAUUUUAUAAAUAUCAACUAAGAUUCUAAGAAUAUUAAUGUUUCCUUGGUCACACAGGAAGAUCGAGGCAUACUCCACUCAGUACCAGAAGGUUUAUCAAAGAUAAAUACAAUAACCCUACAGUCUAUAUUAAAGAGAACGGUGAGAAUCUUUGUAUAGAUUUUUUUUCCUCUAAUAAAAUUUGGAUACGUUGUUAACUUUUAUUUGCUAUAAAUGAUUUCUAUAGGAAUUAAUGACUACGACGACGGUACAAAAUCACGAGAGGAUAUUCUCAAGGAUACAUUUAGGAUAAAGUACCACGAGGACCAUCUCGAACAACUCCACAAAGCUGUAAUGUAAAUACUGUUCAAUAAUUUUAUUAAAAAUUAGUUUCAAACAAACAUUUGCAUAUAUUUAUAAGACAUUCAUAUAUAUAUAUAUAUAUAUAUAUAUGAAAUUAUCAAUUCACAAAAAUCACAAAUAAUCAUAGAAAAUAUAAUGUUUAUUUUUGUAAUAUUUUUAAAGAUAAUGUUUUUAAGUAGAUGAAACAAUUUCACAUGUAACAAAAAGGAAAUUUGUCCUUUCAUAAUUUCAUUACACAGUUUUCUUAAUGAUUUAAAUACCUUUUUAAUCGUUAUAACAGGGAGGAUGGAUGUGACGUCAGAGGAUAUUACGCAUGGUCUUUACUUGAUAAUUUUGAGUGGGAGCAUGGAUAUUCUACUAGGUUCGGUCUGUAUUUUGUUGACUACGACAACAAUCUCGAGCGGUAUCCCAAAGAUUCCGUUAAAUGGUUCAAAGAAUUUCUCAGUAGAGUUAGCAAGAGUGGUCAGGAAAGAGAGGAAGAACAAGUAUGGGAUGUAACACGUGAGAGGUCAAGUCAGGAAAAGAAUAAUAAGACUCUUGACGAUCCAGAAGGUUUCGAGGCGUCAGUUAGCACGAUUAUGUAUCUCAUGACGAACGCAUCGAGAAGAAAAGAAGAAGAGAGAGAUCGUUGCACUUUCGAUAUUCCUUAUACUCGGUUGGGUUUGUUGUUGGGUUCCGAUGCUUUUUUUGGACCCUAGAAAAAUAUUUUGUUGAUAGCACUUUCGUCGCAAAACAUUAGUCGC